AGAGUUUGAUUAUAGCUCAGGAUGAACGCUAGCGGUGCGCCUAACACAUGCAAGUCGAGCGGGUUUAUUUGUGACACAGAGUAGGGAAGUAAUUCCACAUUCUGUGUCACAGGUAAUCUAGCGGCAAACGGGUGCGUAACACGUUGAUAUCUCCCCCGAAGUCAGGGAUAGCCUCAAGAAAUUGAGAGUAAUACCGGAUGGUCCCGUAAGGGUAAAGGAGCAAUUCGCUUCGGGAAGAGUCUGCGGCCUAUCAGCUAGUUGGCGGGGUAAUAGCCCACCAAGGCGAUGACGGGUAGCUGGUCUGAGAGGACGGCCAGCCACAAUGGAACUGAGACACGGUCCAUACUCCUACGGGAGGCAGCAGUGAGGAAUCUUCCACAAUGGGCGAAAGCCUGAUGGAGCGACACCGCGUGAAGGAUGAAGCCUUUGUUGGUGUAAACUUCUUUUCUCUGGGAAGAUAAUGACGGUACCAGAGGAAUAAGGGGCGGCAAACUUCGUGCCAGCAGCCGCGGUAAUACGAAGGCCCCAAGCGUUAUCCGGAAUUACUGGGCGUAAAGCGUCUGUAGGUGGUUUGGAAAGUUUCAAGUGAAAGGUCAGGGCUCAACCCUGUACUUGCUUGGAAAACUAUCAGACUAGAGUGCGGGAGAGGCAAGCAGAACUGUAUGAGUAGGGGUGCAAUCCGUUGAUACAUACAAGAAUACCAAAAGCGAAGGCAGCUUGCUGGAACGCCACUGACACUGAGAGACGAAAGCGUGGGGAGCAAAAGGGAUUAGAUACCCCUGUAGUCCACGCCCUAAAC
rnacentral:rRNA from 1 species